GACGAACGCUGGCGGCGCGCUUAACACAUGCAAGUCGAGCGAAGCGGCGGACGGGUGAGUAACACGUGAGUAACCUGCCUUAGACAUUGGGAUGGCCUCGGGAAACCGGGAUUAAUACCAAAUGGUCUAAGAUUGCCUCGCGUCCCAUUAGCUAGUUGGUGAGGUAAAGGCCCACCAAGGGGACGAUGGGUAGCCGGCCUGAGAGGGUGAACGGCCACAUUGGAACUGAGAACCGGUCCAAACUCUACGGGAGGCAGCAGUGGGGAAUAUUGCACAAUGGAGGGAACUCUGAUGCAGCGACGCCGGGUGAACGAAGAAGGCUUUCGAGUCGUAAAGUUCUUUUAUAUGGGAAGCGGUACCAUAAGAAAAAGCCCCGGCUAACUACGUGCCAGCAGCCGCGGUAAUUC
rnacentral:rRNA from 1 species